GCUUCCACCAAAGAGGAAUCUAUCAGACAUAAUUGAAGAUUUGCAUGGCCCCUGCAUAAAGGUGACACACAAACUCCCGAAGGGUUUACAUUUUUC
rnacentral:snRNA from 1 species